CACCUACGGGAGGCAGCAGUGGGGGAUAUUGCACAAUGGGGGAAACCCUGAUGCAGCGACGCCGCGUGAGUGAAGAAGUAUUUCGGUACGUAAAGCUCUAUCAGCAGGGAAGAAUAAUGACGGUACCUGACUAAGAAGCCCCGGCUAACUACGUGCCAGCAGCCGCGGUAAUACGUAGGGGGCAAGCGUUAUCCGGAUUUACUGGGUGUAAAGGGGGCGUAGACGGCAGCGCAAGUCUGGAGUGAAAUCCCAUGGCUUAACCAUGGAACUGCUUUGGAAACUGUGCAGCUGGAGUGCAGGAGAGG
rnacentral:rRNA from 1 species